AUGAAGGCCAGGCUGAAGACUUUGCCGGAUUUAGGCUGAGAGGUGGUGCAUGGCCGUCGUCAGUUCGUACUGUGAAGCAUCCUGUUAAGUCAGGCAACGAGCGAGACCCACGCCCGCAGUUGCCAGCGUACUCUCCGGAGUGACGGGUACACUGUGGGGACCGCCGCUGCUAAAGCGGAGGAAGGAAUGGGCAACGGUAGGUCAGUAUGCCCCGAAUAUCCCGGGCUACACGCGAGCUACAAUGGUUGGUACAAUGGGUAUCUACCCCGAAAGGGGACGGGAAUCUCCUAAAACCAAUCUUAGUUCGGAUUGAGGGCUGAAACUCGCCCUCAUGAAGCUGGAAUCCGUAGUAAUCGCGUUUCAACAGAACGCGGUGAAUACGUCCCUGCUCCUU
rnacentral:rRNA from 1 species